AGACCCGAAACCCGGUGAUCUAGCCAUGGGCAGGUUGAAGGUUGGGUAACACUAACUGGAGGACCGAACCGACUAAUGUUGAAAAAUUAGCGGAUGACCUGUGGCUGGGGGUGAAAGGCCAAUCAAACCGGGAGAUAGCUGGUUCUCCCCGAAAGCUAUUUAGGUAGCGCCUCGUGAAUUCAUCUCCGGGGGUAGAGCACUGUUUCGGCUAGGGGGCCAUCCCGGCUUACCAACCCGAUGCAAACUGCGAAUACCGGAGAAUGUUAUCACGGGAGACACACGGCGGGUGCUAACGUCCGUCGUGAAGAGGGAAACAACCCAGACCGCCAGCUAAGGUCCCAAAGUCAUAGUUAAGUGGGAAACGAUGUGGGAAGGCCCAGACAGCCAGGAUGUUGGCUUAGAAGCAGCCAUCAUUUAAAGAAAGCGUAAUAGCUCACUGGUCGAGUCGGCCUGCGCGGAAGAUGUAACGGGGCUAAACUAUGCACCGAAGCUGCGGCAGCGACACUAUGUGUUGUUGGGUAGGGGAGCGUUCUGUAAGCCUGUGAAGGUGUGUCGUGAGGCAUGCUGGAGGUAUCAGAAGUGCGAAUGCUGACAUAAGUAACGAUAAAGCGGGUGAAAAGCCCGCUCGCCGGAAGACCAAGGGUUCCUGUCCAACGUUAAUCGGGGCAGGGUGAGUCGACCCCUAAGGCGAGGCCGAAAGGCGUAGUCGAUGGGAAACGGGUUAAUAUUCCCGUACUUGGUGUUACUGCGAAGGGGGGACGGAGAAGGCUAUGUUGGCCGGGCGACGGUUGUCCCGGUUUAAGCGUGUAGGUGUGUGUUCCAGGUAAAUCCGGUUCACUUUAACACUGAGGCGUGAUGACGAGGCACUACGGUGCUGAAGCAACAAAUGCCCUGCUUCCAGGAAAAGCCUCUAAGCAUCAGGUAACAUCAAAUCGUACCCCAAACCGACACAGGUGGUCAGGUAGAGAAUACCAAGGCGCUUGAGAGAACUCGGGUGAAGGAACUAGGCAAAAUGGUGCCGUAACUUCGGGAGAAGGCACGCUGACACGUAGGUGAAGUGAUUUACUCAUGGAGCUGAAGUCAGUCGAAGAUACCAGCUGGCUGCAACUGUUUAUUAAAAACACAGCACUGUGCAAACACGAAAGUGGACGUAUACGGUGUGACGCCUGCCCGGUGCCGGAAGGUUAAUUGAUGGGGUCAGCGCAAGCGAAGCUCCUGAUCGAAGCCCCGGUAAACGGCGGCCGUAACUAUAACGGUCCUAAGGUAGCGAAAUUCCUUGUCGGGUAAGUUCCGACCUGCACGAAUGGCGUAAUGAUGGCCAGGCUGUCUCCACCCGAGACUCAGUGAAAUUGAACUCGCUGUGAAGAUGCAGUGUACCCGCGGCAAGACGGAAAGACCCCGUGAACCUUUACUAUAGCUUGACACUGAACAUUGAGCCUUGAUGUGUAGGAUAGGUGGGAGGCUUUGAAGUGUGGACGCCAGUCUGC
rnacentral:rRNA from 1 species